rnacentral:tRNA from 1 species
GCUCCGGUGGCGGAACCUGGCAUACGCACCCGGUCCAAACCCGGGCGGCCGAAAGGCCAUGAGAGUUCGAAUCUCUCCCGGAGCA